rnacentral:rRNA from 1 species
AUUUCUGAAUGGGGCGACCCAACUAAUAGAGAUAUUAGUUACCGUAAUGGAGCGAACGAGGGGAAUUGAAACAUCUUAGUACCCUCAGGAAAAGAAAUCAAACGAGAUUACGCUAGUAGCGGCGAGCGAACGCGUAAGAGGGCAAACCACUAGUUUACUAGUGGGGUUGUAGGACUGUAACAUAGACUAAAUUUAGCUAAUAGAAUGAUCUGGAAAGGUCAAGCAUAGAGGGUGAUACUCCCGUAUAUGAAAGCUUUAUUUUACUUAGCAGUAUCCUGAGUAGGGCGGAACACGUGAUAUUCUGUCUGAAGCUGGGUAGACCACUAUCCAACCCUAAAUACUACUACUAGACCGAUAGUGCACAAGUACCGUGAGGGAAAGGUGAAAAGAACUGAGGUGAUCAGAGUGAAAUAGAACCUGAAACCAUUUGCUUACAAUCAUUCAGAGCCCUAUGAUUUAUCAGGGUGAUGGACUGCCUUUUGCAUAAUGAGCCUGCGAGUUGUGGUGUCUGGCGAGGUUAAGGAAACCCGGAGCCGUAGCGAAAGCGAGUCUUAAUAGGGCGUUUAGUCAGAUGCUGCAGACCCGAAACGAUGUGAUCUAUCCAUGAGCAGGUUGAAACUGGUGUAAGAACCAGUGGAGGACCGAACCCGCUAGCGUUGAAAAGCUAUGGGAUGACUUGUGGAUAGGGGUGAAAGGCCAAUCAAACAUCGUGAUAGCUGGUUCUCUCCGAAAUAUAUUUAGGUAUAGCGUCAUGUAGUAGCUAUAAGGGGUAGAGCACUGAAUGGGCUAGGGCAUACACCAAUGUACCAAACCCUAUCAAACUCCGAAUACUUAUAGUGUAAUCAUGGCAGUCAGGCGGCGAGUGAUAAAAUCCGUCGUCGAGAGGGGAACAACCCAGACUAACAGCUAAGGUCCCUAAAUCUCAUUUAAGUGGAAAACGAUGUGAAGUUACUGAAACAACCAGGAGGUUGGCUUAGAAGCAGCCAUCCUUUAAAGAAAGCGUAAUAGCUCACUGGUCUAGUGAUUUUGCGCGGAAAAUAUAACGGGGCUAAAAUGAGUACCGAAGCUUUAGACUUGCACUUAAUUUUAACUAUAAAAAUUUUACACAAGGUUUUAAGUUAUGUUUCUCAUAAUUUAAUGAACUUUGUGAGUUAAAUUAUGAGAAAAUAGUUUACUAAAAGUAGUUAGAAUUAAGUGCAAGUGGUAGGAGAGCGUUGCAUUCAGCAUUGAAGGUGUACCGGUAAGGAGCGCUGGAGCGGAUGCAAGUGAGCAUGCAGGCAUGAGUAGCGAUAAUUAAUGUGAGAAUCAUUAACGCCGUAAACCCAAGGUUUCCUACGCGAUGCUCGUCAUCGUAGGGUUAGCCGGGUCCUAAGCAAAGUCCGAAAGGGGUAUGCGAUGGAAAAUUGGUUAAUAUUCCAAUGCCAACUAUGAUGUGCGAUGGAAGGACGCUUAAGGUUAGAGGAGCCAGCGGAUGGAAGUGCUGGUCGAAAGGUGUAGGUUGAAAUUCAGGCAAAUCCGAAUUUCUUUAUCCAAGACCCCACAGGCAUUUGAAGUUCUUCGGAAUGGAUAGUGAAUCCUUGAUACCAUCGAGCCAAGAAAAGUUUCUAAGUUUAGUUAUAGUUGCCCGUACCGUAAACCGACACAGGUGGGUGGGAUGAGUAUUCUAAGGCGCGUGGAAGAACUCUCUUCAAGGAACUCUGCAAAAUAGCACCGUAUCUUCGGUAUAAGGUGUGCCUAACUUUGUGAAGGAUUUACUCCGUAAGCAUUGAAGGUUACAACAAAGAGUCCCUCCCGACUGUUUACCAAAAACACAGCACUCUGCUAACACGUAAGUGGAUGUAUAGGGUGUGACGCCUGCCCGGUGCUCGAAGGUUAAUUGAUGACGUUAGCUCUGCGAAGCGUUUGAUCGAAGCCCGAGUAAACGGCGGCCGUAACUAUAACGGUCCUAAGGUAGCGAAAUUCCUUGUCGGUUAAAUACCGACCUGCAUGAAUGGCGUAACGAGAUGGGAGCUGUCUCGAAGAGGGAUCCAGUGAAAUUGUAGUGGAGGUGAAAAUUCCUCCUACCCGCGGCAAGACGGAAAGACCCCGUGGACCUUUACUACAGCUUGACACUGCUAUUGGGAUAAAGAUGUGCAGGAUAGGUGGGAGGCUUCGAGUAAUAGACGCCAGUUUAUUAUGAGCCAUUGUUGAGAUACCACUCUUUUUUAUUCUGAUAGCUAACUAGCAUGAGUUAUCCUCAUGUAGGACAAUGUCUGGUGGGUAGUUUGACUGGGGCGGUCGCCUCCCAAAAUGUAACGGAGGCUUACAAAGGUUGGCUCAGAACGGUUGGAAAUCGUUCGUAGAGUAUAAAGGCAAAAGCCAGCUUAACUGCAAGACAUACACGUCAAGCAGAGACGAAAGUCGGUCUUAGUGAUCCGGUGGUUCUGUGUGGAAGGGCCAUCGCUCAAAGGAUAAAAGGUACCCCGGGGAUAACAGGCUGAUCUCCCCCAAGAGCUCACAUCGACGGGGAGGUUUGGCACCUCGAUGUCGGCUCAUCGCAUCCUGGGGCUGGAGCAGGUCCCAAGGGUAUGGCUGUUCGCCAUUUAAAGCGGUACGCGAGCUGGGUUCAGAACGUCGUGAGACAGUUCGGUCCCUAUCUGCCGUGGGCGCAAGAAGAUUGAGGAGAGUUGACCCUAGUACGAGAGGACCGGGUCGAACCAACCACUGGUGUACGAGUUGUCCUGCCAAGGGCACCGCUCGGUAGCUAAGUUGGGAUGUGAUAAGAGCUGAAAGCAUCUAAGCUCGAAGCCAACUCCAAGAUGAAUCUUCUUUUAAGAGCUCAAUUAGACUAAUUGUUCGAUAGGCUGGGUGUGUAAUGGAUGAAAGUCCUUUAGCUGACCAGUACUAAUAGCUCGUCUGC